AUGAGGCGGCCCUUGCCGCUGUCCAACAACAGCUCGGCUCUGCAGUACAGGGCAGAGGCUGGAUUAAACAAAAGCCAAAGAGCCGGACCCCUAGGGCUCAGAAUCGACGACCCCAACUCUGGCAAAGGAGGUCAUGGGGAUAAAGAGGACAAGAAAAGGAGACGAAAUGGAGCAGCCAGAACAGUAGGAGGAGCACAAUUUUGAGGUGAGAAUCUUCUGGUAUAAACUGUUUGUUUCACUAUAUCCAUUCAUUAGUUUAUAUUGAUCUAAUUUUUUAUUGUAUAAUUGACAUCUAACAUAUUAAUCUUAGGUGUGCAAUGUAAUGAUUUGACAUUUAUAUAUAUUUAUAUAUGAAGUAUUACACAAUGAUCAGUCAC
rnacentral:lncRNA from 1 species